rnacentral:rRNA from 1 species
UACGAAGGGGGCUAGCGUUGCUCGGAAUCACUGGGCGUAAAGCGCACGUAGGCGGAUUGUUAAGUCAGGGGUGAAAUCCUGGAGCUCAACUCCAGAACUGCCUUUGAUACUGGCGAUCUCGAGUCCGGGAGAGGUGAGUGGAACUGCGAGUGUAGAGGUGAAAUUCGUAGAUAUUCGCAAGAACACCAGUGGCGAAGGCGGCUCACUGGCCCGGUACUGACGCUGAGGUGCGAAAGCGUGGGGAGCAAACGGG